GCCCUCGAGGUGUAGUGAUCAGCACGCUCGAUUCGUAUCCGAGAGGUCCGUGGUUCGAGUCCCGGCGAAGGCG
rfam:Stegodyphus mimosarum contig50009, whole genome shotgun sequence.